rnacentral:rRNA from 1 species
AACAUUGCGCAAUGGAGGGAACUCCGACGCAGCGACGCCGCGUGAGCGAUGAAGGUCUUCGGAUCGUAAAGCUCUGUCCAUGGGGAAGAAGGGUGCAUCAUUGCAUCUUGACGGUACCACAGCAGGAAGCCCCGGCUAACCACGUGCUAGCAGCCGCGGUAAUACGUAGGGGGCAAGCGUUGUCCGGAAUUAUUGGGCGUAAAGGGUGCGUAGGCGGCCUUUUAAGUCAGGUGUGGAAGCCCACGGCUUAACCGUGGGAUUGCAUUUGAAACUGGUAGGCUUGAGUAUCGGAGAGGGUAGUGGAAUUCCCAGUGUAGCGGUGAAAUGCGUAGAUAUUGGGAGGAACACCAGUGGCGAAGGCGACUACCUGGACGAAAACUGACGCUGAUGCACGAAAGCUAGGGGAGCAAACA